rnacentral:rRNA from 1 species
AUUGAACGCUGGCGGCAUGCCUUACACAUGCAAGUCGAACGGCAGCACGGGAGCAAUCCUGGUGGCGAGUGGCGAACGGGUGAGUAAUAUAUCGGAACGUGCCCAGUCGUGGGGGAUAACGCAGCGAAAGUUGUGCUAAUACCGCAUACGAUCUAUGGAUGAAAGCGGGGGAUCGCAAGACCUCGCGCGAUUGGAGCGGCCGAUGUCAGAUUAGGUAGUUGGUGGGGUAAAGGCUCACCAAGCCAACGAUCUGUAGCUGGUCUGAGAGGACGACCAGCCACACUGGAACUGAGACACGGUCCAGACUCCUACGGGAGGCAGCAGUGGGGAAUUUUGGACAAUGGGCGCAAGCCUGAUCCAGCCAUUCCGCGUGCAGGAUGAAGGCCUUCGGGUUGUAAACUGCUUUUGUACGGAACGAAACGGCGAGCUCUAAUACAGUUUGCUAAUGACGGUACCGUAAGAAUAAGCACCGGCUAACUACGU